rnacentral:rRNA from 1 species
AUUGAACGCUGGCGGCAUGCUUUACACAUGCAAGUCGAACGGUAACAGGCCGCAAGGUGCUGACGAGUGGCGAACGGGUGGGUAAUGCAUCGGAACGUGCCCAGUCGUGGGGGAUAACGCAGCGAAAGCUGUGCUAAUACCGCAUACGAUCUAUGGAUGAAAGCGGGGGACCGUAAGGCCUCGCGCGAUUGGAGCGGCCGAUGUCAGAUUAGGUAGUUGGUAGGGUAAAGGCUCACCAAGCCAACGAGCUGUAGCUGGUCUGAGAGGACGACCAGCCACAAUGGGACUGAGACACGGCCCAGACUCCUACGGGAGGCAGCAGUGGGGAAUUUUGGACAAUGGGCGCAAGCCUGAUCCAGCAAUGCCGCGUGCAGGAAGAAGGCCUUCGGGUUGUAAACUGCUUUUGUACGGAACGAAACGGCGAGCUCUAAUACAGUUUGCUAAUGACGGUACCGUAAGAAUAAGCACCGGCUAACUACGUGCCAGCAGCCGCAGUAA